AGUGAACGCUGGCGGUAGGCCUAACACAUGCAAGUCGAACAGCACCACAGUAAGAGCUUGCUCUUACGGGCGGCGAGUGGCGGACGGUUGCGGUAUACAUCGGAAUCUACUUUUUCGCUGGGGCUAACGUCGGGAAACUUACGAUAAUCCCGCAUAUGUCCUCCGGGUGAAAGCACGCGUUCUUCUGACCUUGCGCGAUUGAAUGAGCCGAUGUCGGAUUAGCUAGUUGGCGGGGUGAAGGCCCACCACGGCGACGAUCCGUCGCUGGUCCGACAGCGUCAUCACUCACACUGGAAGUGAGACACGGUACAGACUCCUACGGUAGGCAGCAGUGGAGAAUAUUGGACAAGGGGCGCAAGCCUGAUCCAGCCCUACCGCGUGAGUGAAGAAGGACUUCUGGUUGUAAAGCCCUGUUGUUGGGAGAGAAAAGCAGCAGGUUAAUACCCCGCGGUACUGACGGUACCCAAAGAAUAAGCACCGGCUAACUUCGUG
rnacentral:rRNA from 1 species